UCCCACCUGCCUGUGAAUAGAACAUAGAGAGAAACAGCAUGGAAACAGGCCCUUCGGCCCUCCAAGUGCUUCCCUACCAUGAACCACGUAUUUACUCUAAUUCUACACUGAUCUCAUCCACUCUGCCCAGAGUCUACCACUCAUCUUCACCUGAGGGACUUUAUUUUACAGCAGUCAAUUACUUACCAACCUGCACAUCUUUGGGAUGUGGGAGGAAACUAGAGCACCUGGAGGCAACCUAUGCAGACACAGGAAGAACGUGCAAACACCAUACAGACGACCCAAGGCCAGGAUUGAACCCGGUUCUCUGGCGCUGUGAGACAGAGUCUACCAGCCGCGCCACAUGUACUGCCCCUUAAUACAUUUAGGAUGUUCUCUUACACUAAAACCUAAUUGAGAAGUACACAUGACUACAGCAUUAUUUAAUACCUGGAACUGCAAGAUUCAGUCAAAAAAAGAAACAGAUGAAUGGAAAUAGGAUGAAAUUGACAGGUCUUGAUUGCUGGAGCUUGGUUACAGCUCUUAGCUUAGUGGAUAUUGAGUUUUAAUCCGAAUGGAAGGAGAAAAUUAAGUUUCAGUGUAGCAUGUAGCAGGGACCCUGCCAAAAAGAGACACAAGUGCCGCGGUGAUUAUGUUUUCCUGCUCAAAUAUCUCGGGUAAAUAGCCAUUGUCUGCUCAUUCUUGUACAUGCUGAAAAUGCAAGAUGUUCAAUAAGAUAAAUGAGAAUAAAGAGUAAAUUAAACAAUAAAAGCUUUUGCCUCGGGUGACUUGCCUUGAGUGCAUAGGAUCUCAUUCACCUUUCCCUCACCCAGGUAUUUAGUAUGAACAAAAGAACCAGUAUCUAACAUGAAGUUUACAAUUAUUAAUUUAAAUGAGAAUUGUGUUUUAAUAACAGAAAAUGGUAUAUUGGUAUGUGUUUUUGUGAAAUUCUUGUGCUUUCGAAUAAACUGCAUUUUUCAUUCUUCAAGAAAAA